rnacentral:lncRNA from 1 species
AAUUUGAAUGGCCAACCAAUCAUCCUUAUCCAUUCAAAUGGCACAUUAAAGUGGGGCGUGGAGAGGGCUUGGUGUGAGAAAAAAAUUCAUGAGAAGUUUCUUCUCAUGAAUUCAAAUGGGUGCAAUGGAAGUGAGGUGGCGCAUGGAGAUUGGGUCAAGGUGGUUUCAUUAUUUAAACCAACCUAAUUGAACGAAAUAAGUUAGAUCCAAUUAGACUAAUUUAAACCCAACUUAAUUAGGCUUAAUUAGGCUCAAUAAAAUCCUAAUCAAAUCAAAAAUUGACUAAGCCCAACCCCUGAUCAAAUUAGGGACCAAACCAUCUCGACGAUUAGGUCAACUCUUAACCUAAUCUGGUC